AAAGUACUCCCUCUAUCCCAAAAUUCUUGUCUUCAAAUGUAGCAUUGAUUUGUCUAGAUACGGAUGUAUCAAGUCACAUUUUAGUAUUGGAUACAUCCGUAUCUAGACAAAUCUAAGACAAGAAAUUUGGGACAGAGGGAGUAGUUG
rfam:Triticum aestivum genome assembly, contig: Triticum_aestivum_CS42_TGACv1_scaffold_086061_1DS